rnacentral:misc_RNA from 1 species
ACACCUCAACUCUCAUGGCUUGCCAUGAUGAGCUUGGACUUUGGGGGUCUUGUUGGCCUGUGAGCCAGCUCCUCUUAAAUGAAUUAGCUUGCCGGUGUUUGGUGGCGUCACGGGUGUGAUAACUAUCUACGCUUGUGGUUUCCCACCAGGUAACCUUCAGCAAUGGAGGUUCGCCGGAGCUUAUAAAUGUCUCUCCUCGGCGAGGACACAUUUUGACC